UGACCGUUUUCUGUAGCCAGGACGUUGCUUGUUAACGGCGGUUUGAACGCGUUGGUGGAACGAGGAUGACGCGUGGAGACGACGGCAGAGUGCCUAGGAGCGCAUUAUCGAUUCGUGAAAGGAGACUCGCGCCGGUUACUGCGGUUUCCACACGGCGGCAGCGGCGGCGGCAGCGGCGGCGACAACGACGACGCCGUGACGCGACGACGGUACAACGAGGACGAGGAUGGCGACGACGACGUUAACGCCGACGCCAGACCAGUCACUGACAGACAUCGAACAGCAGCCCGUUAGCCGAGUAUUUUGAUAACCUCAUGCCACCGGCCACCGGAACCCUGUUUCCAGUUGAUGGAGAAUUGACACUGUUUGCACACCACCCACGGGUUUAUUUGUUUAACCAGUGAUAUUUGUAGGGGCAAUGGAAAUUCAUUGAAUUCGUAGGUUGGAGUUAGGUCAUGGAACAACGAGCAGGCAAAAUAAAAUUUGUUUCUAAGGACAACGACUACGAUUGCAAAGAGAUAUAAGGCGAUUCGAAUAUUGCCUCUGUCCAGGUAUAAGAAAUAUUCCGAGAAACGAUGGUUUAUUAUGUAAAUGGCAGAAUGGUUUCAUGGCUUCAAAAAGAAACUUUAUACCUAAGUCCAGACGGAAGAAAAAAUACAUAAUAAGAAGCAAAGUAUCGGAGAGAUCUUUGCAACGCUCUUUCAUAACUACAAUUUAAACGAUAAAAUUUAAUUAUGUAAAUUGAGAAGAGACUGGCUUGAAAUGAAACGUUACGUAUGGUACGAUUAGAGUACUUGUUUUACGUAAAAAUUAAUUUAAGCUAUGGGAUCAAAAAAGAAAUACUACUAAUGUCAGAACUAUUUCGCAUUUUUCUAAGAAUUCGAAUAUUUGUCAAAAUAAUUGAGAAAUCAAUUUCAGAUUGUCAUUUUUACCUGUUUGACGGAAAAAUUAAUUUUAAUACUAAAGUAUUCGAAGGAGAUAUCAUGCCCAGGCGAGUAUGCAUGUUCGUGUAUCUGGUGAAUAUAGAAUUGAACGGCGGUUUCCUAGAAAAACUUCUUUAUCUGCUCAUAGACAUGGAAUAGGAGCGGGGAAUAAACAUCGAAUUUAAUUACGAUCGGUACCAGAUAUCUUUGUUUCGCCCUUUUACAACUUUUGUAUAUACAUGUAUAUAUUCGGCUACGGAAAUGGCAAUUCACGAUUACGAUACGACAAGAAACAAGUGAAAUCAGCGAUUAGAUUUAGCGUACGAAGAUAAGAGAAGCAAGUUGGCGAUCAUUUACGCUCGAAGAUAAAGCAACUGUGAAUUCCCGCAACAAAAGCUCUUUGAGGAUCACAUAUUUCAGGCUACAACUCCACGAGAUACGAUUAAUACUACUUGCAAUAUGAUUUUUCUAACACAUUUCUUGAUAGCGAGGUACGCGUACAUGUUACGACGAUGUAAUUAUUCGGGUAACGUUACCGAUACGAUUGUCAGAUUUUUCGUACAUAUCGAUGAAAUAACUGUAAAAGUUAACGAAAGAAUGGACAGCGCGUUGAGACAUUGUAUAUAAUAUAAUAGUUAUUAUUAUUUAAAACAACGUUACUUCUGGCGAAAAAGUGCAGCAUUAUUAUAUGCAGUUGCAAGAACUUGUUAGUUGUUUUUCAAAAGUGGCGAACGUAUUAAAAAUCGCCAAUGUAAUAUAACAGAAGAAGCAAUAAUUUGAUCGAGCAAAUCUUCGAGAAAUAUUAUUAACGGAUAGAAGAAAAGAAUGCUACGUUAUUUAUAGCAAAUAAUCGUCUAUGUGCAGCCAAACAAUUACAUCACGUAUUAUUUUUAAACUUCUUUAACAUGAUAUAAUGACAUAAGAAGCAAAGUACAUAACAUAAUACCAUAUCCGUCAAAACGACCAAUAAUUUUUCAUCGAUAUCCUCGGCUAUUCAACGAUGUUUACCAUAAAUUAUCGAGCUGUGUCUCGGUUAUCUCUUGAUACAAAUGAUUAUUGUAUAAAUAUAAAAAAAAUUAUUCGACAAUCCAUAACUUCAAAUCUAUUUCGAUAUUUCGAGAUUGUAUUAUUUACCAGUGAUUUAUCGUGUACCACUGAUUUUGACAAUUGGAAAAAUAUAGUUACGUAACUAAAUAAUAAAGAAUAUGGCGUUACAAUAGAAUAAACAAUCUAUACAAGUAGUUUUAUAUCCGCGAAAUAUAGAUGCGCUCAGAUAUAAAUAUAUUAUGCGAGUAUAAGUGUGACCUAUCCGUCUUUAUUUCCAUACUUGUGGAAAAAUAGGAUCUUUGGUUAAAGUGAAUGUUUUCCCAUGAACAGUGACACGUACUAGUUACAAUUUUCUGUCUCUCGUGAGGAAACAAUUAACCUGUUCGCAUUCAAUUUUACGCUUAUCGCGAGAGUAUCUGCGGAAUAAUUAAUCCACGUCAUUCUACCUCGUUGAAUUUAGCUAAGAUACGCGAUAAAUGAAUGGAACAAAAAGCACAGUUUCCAUCGAAACGAGAUUAAACUCACACCAAAACCUACGAUAUUUACGUACGAAGAAAUCGAUUCUAAUUACGUAUAUAUUCCAUGUAUUCAAACAAGCAUGAUCAAAUCUCAACCGUAUUUAAUUCUUUUUAUUCAAAUUCGCUGCAUGGAACUCCAUCGUUAUGCAGAAAUUUCUUCAAUAUUAAAAUUUCUUUAAAUUGAAUAAUUUUCAUUUUUAUUAUUAUUAUUAUUAUUAUUUUUCAAUCUGUACAAAGGAAUAUCUUUCAUCGUUGUACCAAUCUGGACAGUAGCAGCUACUUUGCCGUUUGUAUUAAUUAUCAAAAUAAAUUGUCAAAUAAAUUAUCGAAUAAACCUUACAAAUUAAUCGCCAAGUAACUUAUAAAGCAACGCCAGAUGCAAAUACGAACAAAAAUCGACAUAAUUUUCAAGUAUUUCGCGCGGUUAUCGUAAAAUUUAACGCUUUAUUCGCAGUUAUAUGGAACGAUUGAAAAUUUAUCAAGAGCAGGAGAGAAGAUAAUUUUCACGUAAUGAAAAUUUAUGGUAAAUAGGAGAGAAGGACGAUCGUAAAAGCACGAUGGUUUUCUAAAGCGUGUGGGCGAAAGACCAGAAACGUCACCUCGCAAUGGACACCUUGUAAUUCGUCUGAUCGUGUCACAAAGUUUCAUAAUCCCCGCAUCGUAUUUAACAUUUUAACGAUUUAGCCAGCUGUGUGCAUAAUACACUGGCGAUCGGUAUCUAUACCUGGACCUGAGAGCGGUUCGAGAGAACAAAGUGAAAGGUACGCCGCAAAUUAGAUACAGCAGCGAAGGGGGUGCGGGGGUAUAUCGAAGGGGGGACACAAGCACUUGACUCGUUUGAGGAACUUAUUCGCCUGGAAUCUAUCCUCGUUUCGUCUUAUCCCCAAUAAUUCCAAGUAGUUUCAUUAAAUGCGUAAACAGGAGAAACCCGGUUGAUCCGUCGCUUAAUAUCUUGGACGUUACAAGUUCUUCGUUUGUAGAUUUAUUGCACUUGGCAAAUUUUUGCUUAAAAGUUUCGAUAUUUUACAACGUCCCAUAUUUUAUGGCGAUUAGGAGCCAUAAAAUUAUAUAUUAGGUGCCAUAUAUUAGGAUAUUCUGGAAGCGAAUACCCAAUUUGGGAAAAGCACCACUUUCUUAUAAUUAUUCUUUGCAUUUCCAGGUGUUUCUCUGUUUCAUACGUACGCAUGGUUAAAGAGCCGUGAACACUCUUUGUUGGUAAAGCUUGUCGCGACAAAUGCGCGUUAAAUUGAUACGCAAAGUGUUGACAAGUGAUUAUUUAAGAAUAUUUACAAACUGUCUUAAUAGUUACAUUAGAAAUACAAUUGGUUCCGAUAGGAGUUAAAAAACGUUGCGUUAUCGAUAUACUGAUUUUGGUUAUCGUCUCGUUAUCUAUUCUCAUGCCGUGAUAGAUCAACACCGAUCGUUAAUUACACAGCUGAUCAGGCAAAUA